UAGGGAAUCUUCGGCAAUGGACGAAAGUCUGACCGAGCAACGCCGCGUGAGUGAAGAAGGAUUUCGGAUCGUAAAACUCUGUUGUUAGAGAAGAACAAGGACGUUAGUAACUGAACGUCACCUGACGGUAUCUAAGCAGAAAGCCACGGCUAACUACGUGCCAGCAGCCGCGGUAAUACGUAGGUGGCAAGCGUUGUCCGGAUUUAUUGGGCGUAAAGCGAGCGCAGGCGGUUUCUUAAGUCUGAUGUGAAAGCCCCCGGCUCAACCGGGGAGGGUCAUUGGAAACUGGGAGACUUGAGUGCAGAAGAGGAGAGUGGAAUUCCAUGUGUAGCGGUGAAAUGCGUAGAUAUAUGGAGGAACACCAGUGGCGAAGGCGGCUCUCUGGCCUGUAACUGACGCUGAGGCUCGAAAGCGUGGGGAGCAAACAGG
rnacentral:rRNA from 1 species